rnacentral:tRNA from 2 species
AACGAGUUUAUAAACAAGUCUUCUAAAUUUGUUCUAGGUUAGUUCCUGCUCGUUU